GUCUAUGGCCAUACCACCCUGAAUGUGCCUGAUCUCAUUUGUUCUAGGAAGCUAAGCAGGGUUGGGCCUAAUUAGUACUUGGAUGGGAGACACAGAUGUUGAUAGCACUGGGACGCAGUCA
rnacentral:rRNA from 1 species